rnacentral:lncRNA from 1 species
AAGCAUCUUCGUUGAGUAUUUCGAUAAGCCAAAUUAUUAGAUAUUGUGUCACACCCCAAUAAUCUCAUAUCGGAUAGGAAUACGAACGUGAUUAAAUAUAUAAAAGAGUUAGACAUUAGUAAUAAUAACUGAGCUUAAAUAUUUUGAGUCGGUGGUUGAGCCCAACGAAUUGUUGUUGCUAGUGGAUUGGAUCGUUACAUUUGGUAUAAGAACCAAUCACCAGCCGAAAAUAGGGUCUGGAUGACAAGACUAACGAGACAGGUCUCACAUCGACCGGUAAUUUUGGACUGUGUGUGUGAUUGGACUGACGAUUUAAUAUAACUGGGCUUAAACAUUUUGUGCCGGUGGUUGGACCCAACGAGUUAUUGUUGUUAGUGGGUUGGGUCGUUACGUAUUGAUUUUGGCCACUAGAUUCGGCUCCAACUCCGACCUAAUUGUAAGGUUUGAAUCAUAAAAGUAAUUAAACAAAUAGCUUGUAUAUUUUGAUUGUGCCAAGUUUCGGGACCUAACAUUAAUUGUCCACUAGCUAGGUUCGAAUCAAGACCGGAUCUGAAUAAUAAUACCUAAAACAUUGCAAAUAGAUUAAUUUGGAUCUGAAUUCUUAACAAAUCCGACCCAUUGGUGGUACUCUUGGUCCAAAUACCUGCAACAACCAGAGAGGCCACGUGAUAUGAUAUGUCAUUAAUUGCGUAGCGCGAUUGCAUAUAGGUCAUUAUCAAAAAAUAAAAAAAGAGAUGCACGGAGGUGAGCAUUAGCACUUAGCAGCUCCAAAAUGUACGUGUUACUCAAUUGGACAGACUCAUUUUGGUUGAUUCUGUCAGGUUUUGUUAAUAAUUUGAUCGAUUCAUGUUGGUUUAUUAAUUGGAUUAGUAAUUGUUUGAAACAAAUUCGCCAUUUGAUGAUGAUCAAAUAGUUUAAUUGGAGUCCUCAGCCAUUAAUUAGUAGCAACAGAUCAAAAAUUUAUCAUAUAGCUAGAACCAUUUCUUAAUUACAUCCAUCCAUCCAUCCUUCUCGAGAAUACCUUUUAUUUGGUACUGUAUAUAUGAAUAUUAGCCUAAGAGGAGUUUUCUAAUACAAAAAGACUAAACCGAUUGAAAUGAACCAAGUUUUCUAAUACAAAACGACAAAACCAAUUGAAAUGAACCAAGUUUUCUAAUACAAAACGACUAAAACCAAUUGAAAUGAAUACAAAACGACUAAACCAUUUGAAAUGAACCAAGUUUUCUAAUACAAAACGCGACUAAAACCAAUUGAAAUGAAUACAAAACGACUAAACCAAUUGAAACGAACCAAGUUUCAGUUUGGCUCGAUUCAGUCCGUUUCCAGGUUCUAUAUUUGUUUUUUAUAUAAGAAAAAACACUAUAAAAUCGAACCAAUUUGACUGAUGCUCAUGAUAUCACUAGUUUGCUAAUUCAUCCUAUGAAAUGCAUAAAUAAACAAGAUUAUAAUCUUUUUGAUGGUGACUAUGAACAAGCAAACAAAAAAAUAAGAAAAAACAAAGAGGGCCAAUUUCCAUAAAAUCACUGGUUUUGCAUCUUUGCAAAAAUAGGCUUUUUUUUUAUUAUACACAUUAUGUUUGAAUUUUUAGUAAGGUGAUUAAAAUACCAUUAUUAUCUUUCUCUCUUUCUGUUUUUUUAUGGCAACGAGAGUGCCAUGAAAUUUGAGAACGAUGGGAAGGAAGAGUGUGUCAGAGUGGGGGUGGUGGAUGCGGCUGCAGUUGAGAGCGAGGAGGGGGUACAGUAGUACAAAAAGCUGUAAAUGGUAAAAUGAAAAAAAAGAAUAAAAAUAAAAAAAAGUAUAUUUUUUUCUUCUGAAAAAAGCUAUAAUGUGUCAUGCCCGCUACAGGAAAGACUAAGAAAGAGAAUAAAGAAGAAAAAAAGUUACACUAUUUGAGUCAAACGUGCAUUGCUUGAGGCUAAGUUGUACUGUUUGAGGCUAAAUUAUUAUUUAAAAUUAUUUAAGACUAAAUCACACAACAAAAAAUAUAAGCUGUACUAUUUGAAACUAAGUUGUAUUAUUUAAGACUUAAAUUGCCCAGUUUAAGAAGUUGUUUGAUCUAACUAUUUAUUGGAGAAGUGAUUUCUGCAGAAUUAAUUUGGAUUUGGACAAUUGAUUUUGGCUAAAGAUUUCAGAGCAUUUGGCAGGAGUUUAGACAGAAAGUGAUUUUUCUAAAGUAAUUUCAUAAAGUAGUUUAAUAAAAAAAAUUUUCAUUGUUUGCAAAUAAUAAUUUUUUCGCUAAAUUUUUAUUUAAAAAAUAAUUUAAAAUUUAAAUUUAAGUUUAACUUUUAAAAUUUGACACUUAAAAUUUGAACAAAAAUUUACAAUUUUAUUUUAAAUUAUAAUUUAAAAUUUUUAAAAUAAAAAAAGUAAAAUUAAAAUUUUAAAUUUUAAAUUUCAAAAUUGGAAUUUCAAUCUGUUUUAAAAUAUCAAAUUUACAUUAAAAUUUAAAUUGGACAAUUCAAAAUUUAAAACUUAAAAUCGUAAAAUUUAAUUAAAGUUUAUAAUUUAAAAUUUGAAUUUUAGAAUUUGAAUUUUAGAAAUUUGAAAUUUGAUAUUUCAAAAUUAAAACAUAUAAUUUAAUAUUUCAAAUUUAAUUUUUAAUUUUAAAAUUUAAAAUUUGAAAAUUUAAAUUUCAUCUAAAAUUUGAAAUUUGAGAUUUGAAAUUUGAAAUUUGAGACUUGAGAUUUGAAAAUUGAAAUUUGAGAUUUGAAAUUUGAGAUUUGAGAUUUGAAAUUUGAAAUUUGAGAUUUGAGAUUUGAGAUUUGAGAUUUGAAAUUUAAAAUUUGAAAUUAAAAUUUGAAAUUUGAAAUUUGAAAUUUAAAAUUUAAAUUUUGAAAAUUGAAAUUUUAAAAUUGAAAUUUUAAAUUUGAAAUUUAAAAUUCAAAAGUUGGAAUUUAAAAUCUAAAAUUUUGAAAUUUAAAAUUUAAAAUUUAGGAUUUGAAAUUUGAAAUUUAUAACUUAACAUCUUUAUUUAAAAUUAGAAAUUUGAAAUUUAAAUUCUAAAUUUUACAUAGAAUUAAAUAUAAAUCUAAAAUUUAAAAUUUAAAAUUUAUAUUUGAAAUUAAAAUUUGAAUUUUGAAUUUAAAUUUAAAAUUUGUAUCCAAAAUCAGAAAUAAAGUUGCAUUUGAGUUGAAAAUCAGAAAAAGAUUACAAUAGGUAUGUUUUAGUUUUUUUUUAUUUUGGUUUCAAAAAUUAGAAAAUGAUCUAAAAAUCAGUAUCAUAUUUUGAAAAAAAAUGUUACGAAAUGCUAUAUUGAAAAUAACUUCACUUUUGGCUAUAAAAUCACAAUCUAGACCAAACGUCCACUAAGUCUCAAAUAAUUUUAAAUUGUGCAACUUAGUUCUUAAACAGCACAACUUAAUCUCAAAGAGUGUAAUUUUGUCUCAAACAGUGCAAUAUUUUUUUUUUCUUCUUUGUUUAUUGUUUUUCCUGUAGCUGCUACAGCUUUCUACCAUUUUAGCAACAACAGCCGCUACCAUUUAUAUAUAUAUUAUUCUUUUUCUUUUUUUUUUCUUCUUCUACCAUCUGUAUGUUUUUUUGCUACCGCGCCCACUACUAUGCCCGCUCCCUCACUCUCUGCUGCAGUAGUCACCCCUGCCCCGACGCACUCUCCCUCCCCUUUGUCCUCAAAUCUUACGUCUUUGUCGUCAUCGCUAUCCAUAGCUACGCCUUCCGCCGUAACCUCAUCUCAGGGGUAUGGACAAGAUAGAAGAAAGCGUGACGUCGAUAUAAAGCAGUGGAGAAAGAGGGAGCUAAAGCGGGCAGAAAAAAAAUAAAGAACGAGAAAGGGAAAGGAGAGAAAGAGAAAUAAAUAUAUUUUGAUUAGUUUAUUACAAAUUCAGACUAAAUCUGAAAAAUCUAAAAAAUAACCUAUUUUUUUAAGAAAUAUAAAGCCGGUAGAUUUUAUGCAAAUUGGUCAAAAAAAAAAAAGAAAAAAAAAAGAAAAAAAAAGAAGAAAAGCAACCAACCAAAUGUACUUUCAAAAUAGUUAAGAAUAAUAAGCAAACAUGUGCCUUAAAAUAGCCACCCUGGCUUGAAUUAAAUGUCCCCUCAUUUAUGUUAUAAAGAAGAAGAUAAAGUAACAUCACUUUUAAAAAAAUAAUAAUAAUUGUAGGAAAAUUAAAAAUGAUUAAAGGUCAUAUCUAUUCAUCACCUAAAAACUACACAAAUUGCUUCUAUAAGGCAGACAAACAAUUUAUUUGGCAGUUCCCAGCAUUAAACAAAUAAAAGUCAGAGUGGGACCUCCAAUACUUUGGCUUCUACUUAAGGCUAGAUAAGGAUUCUCCUACUAUAGAGCUAUUGCCUAUUGGAAAUAUAAAAAUCUAAAUAUGUCAAGUCAAUUUUUUGAGCUGUUUUAAUAACAAUAAUUUUUUAGGUAAUAAAAUGUCAAAAUCAAUUCUAAGUCUCCUCACCUUCAACAGGUUCUAAGUUUGAAAAAAUAAAUAGUUCUCAUAUUUGUCAUUCAAUAGUAUGAAUUAAUGUAUUUUAUUUCCUUCACUCAGCUUUGGUGUCAGCGUAUAUGAUUUGAUAGGAAAUUGAAGACUAUUUUUAAAUUAUAAUCAAUUAGAUUGAUCUUUAGAAUAACACUAGCAUUUUAUGUUGUUUCAUUGGAAUAUUAUCAGGAAAAACUCUUCGGUUAUGUCUUUAAUACAAUUAGAACAACAAAUAUGUGUUAGAAUUCCAUUUAAGAGUUCAUAAAAGAAAUAUUAAGAAAAUCAUUUGUAUAUUUUUUAUAUGGUCUUUAUUAUUUAAUAGUGAAUAUAUAGCACUAUUAAUUCUUGAUAUCAAAUAGCUUUGCCAAAAAAAAAAAGUUCCAGUGAAGCAAUUUUAGCUCAUAACCAAAUAAAAUUCUAUUAUGCUGGAAUAAUUAAGCCCAACAAUAGACUUAAUUAUAUAUUCUGUCAUUAUUCAUUAUUAAAUGUUCUAACCAAAUGGCAGUGCACAUAUUAAAUUAUUGCAAAGUACUACAACUGUUUCGCUUUGAAUAUUCUGUGGCAGUUCACAAGAGGACUCUGACUUAGUCUGGGGGAUGUAUAAUUAACGUGCAUCAUGGACUAGGCUUUGUUCUCUCUUAACGAGGAGUAAAUAAAAAUUAGAAAAAUAUAGAAAUAAAAAUUGAGCUGAAAAAUAAUUAGAUGAGGAAAAAAGUAAGUAGAAAAGUAGAAAUAAUAGUCUCAUUCUCGAUAUGAAUUUUGUAUUAAGCACCCGUUUGGUUCGGGGUUAAGGGGUGGAAUAACCCCUUAACCCCGAAGUUAUUCCCAAACACCUAAUUUGGGGGGUGGGGUUAGCUAACCCUAUCCCACCCCACUACUCCAACCAAACAAAACACUUUUUUACCCACUAUCCUUCUUAUUCCACUUACUCCAACCAAACACUAUUUUACCGAAUCCUGAACUAACUCCAAUUCUCAACCAAAUACAAAAUUACUCUAACCCCACCUUAACCCUGAACUUAACUCUAUCCCUGGAAUAACUAGCUUUUUUUUAACCCCAAACCAAACGAUAUAAGGGUUUUUAGGAAGCCAUAUAGGGCCAGCUCAGGCCCACAUAAUUGAAUCCAAAAAUAUGACAAAUUAAAUCUUUUAGAUUUGCACCUACUAGUGCAAUUCUGUAAUUUUCUGUUUUAUUAAUUAUCCAAUGUAGGACUAUUCACAUGUGAACUAUUUGGUUUCUCAAAAAAAUGUGAAAAAAAAGAAAAAGGAUUCAUAAAAAACCUUUUCAGUUUUCCGUCUGUUAGGUUUUAAGAAAAAAAGUUUUUAUAGAAAAUUGUUUCUAUACAUUAUGAAAAACUAGUGUUUUUUCUUUUCUAAAAGGAAAUCUAAAAACGAAAAUGCUAGUUUUCUUUGAAAUAUGAAAAAAAAGAUUUCCAGAUAUACUUUUUUUUUUUUUUGCAUAUCAGAUGGACAAUAAAUUGGAAAGGAAGUUUUCCAUGAAAAAAAAAAAUUUCUUCGAAAUUUUUAGGGUUUCCACACCUUUCAGAAGAACCAAACAGUCCCAUAAACAAGGAACUAAGGAUUUUCAAAUUACACCGCAUAUUAGAAAGUUCUAGGCCCAACUUGGAUUCAUAUGAGCUUAAAAAUUUGACAUAUCUAAUCAAACUCACUCAAUAUAAAACUUUAGCCUACUAGUUCUGAACCAACUAUUAUAUAUACUAUCUUUUUACUCUCUUAUCAAUUAUUCGAUGUGGGGAUAUUUAUAUGUAAAAUCUCAACGAGGAUAUUUCCACCUAUUAUGUAAUAAUACUGAAGUUUCUUAUGCUUAAGAUGUAAAACAGAGGAUUUGUCAACACUUCUCAUUCACUAAAAAGAAAAACUAUAUAUUUAUGUCAUGUCUGUUAUGCUUCUUAUUAAACUAGCAAAUGCGCAAGUGCCUUGCAGUACUUUGAGGCUAAAAUGGUUUACGAAUUAUUAUGCCGAAUGCUCCUUUGACUAGUUUAAACUAUAAGUAAGGAAUCUGUACUUUUUUAUUAAUGAACAAAAUAUCCUUUAGAAGAUAUAUACAGAAACUAAAAAUAUAUACUUCAUUUUUUAUCAUGAAAAUAUUAAUUUACGCUUCUUGCUGCAGCGAAUCAUAAAAUUUCAAUUGAGGAUUUUGCAUGCGGAGCCUAAUAAAUGCUUAUUUAACUCCAAGAGGGUUUUACUUGGUUUGGUUUUGAUUGAGUUGCCUAUCUUUGUAGGCUUAAAUAGACCAGCAUUCUAUCUAGUAACGGAAGGUCAAGGUGGGCCAAGUCACAAUCGAAACUCCUGUACGCUGCGUCUGUAUGCUUUAAAUAACUGCUCGAUCUUUUGAGAUUAACAGUUAGCACCAACGAUCCGACACAAAUAACUAAACAAACAGAACCAAACCAAAUCUAGUUUUGCUUCGGCUUGAUUUAAUGGAUAGGUUUAAAUUUAUUUUUUAAAUUAGAUUUCUUCGGUAAUUUACGGUAAUAAAUAGUAUGGCCAUUUUGAUCGCAUGCCCACUACUUGUCAAUUCGUACAAAAUCACAUGGGAAUUUAUGAACUCAAAAUGUUUCAUUAUGAAUAAACAGAUGGAACUAAAUUAUAUGUACAUCAUGCGUAUAAAAUUUAUACGUACAUAUAUCACUGUUCUGUUCUACUUAAUUUGUUAAGGUAGAAAGUUUCUCAACCAGACCAGAACGAAUGACAGUAUAUAUAUUGUUAGAACAAAUACGCAACGAAAUCUAAUUGUAAUUUAAAUCUAACUAAAUUAUUAUGAAAUAAAAUAAAUACAAACUUACAGAUAAAUGCAAAGUCAAAUAAAUAUUUAAAUUGAUCCGGAAGCGUGCGAGGCACUGCCCUAAGGGUAUUCCCGUCCUUACGUGCGGGAUUAACGGGCAACACCCCAAGGUACGACCGGAAUUCCUCCUCCUGCGAGCACGAUCGGUGAAGUGAGGUUGACGAAGACUCUUCACACCACACCGAUUAACAGAAGAAAAUUAACUUUAUGAAAAGGAAACUCAAAGUAAAAUUCUUUUCACUAUUCUUCAUGCAUAAGAUAAUAUAUCACUCUCUACUGACCACAGUAAAUGCUAUAUAUAAAAUAUAUGCAUGAAGGUUGUAGAGUUGAACGUUGGGAAUCCGACACGUUCACUUCCGCUUAAUUAGUUUCAAGCAAAACGUCCGCCGAUAAUUAGUCCCGCACAUGACGCGGACGGGCACGUGGAGCGGACGUCGCAACGUCGCCGCACAUUGCGGACUAAAUAAAAACACAAUAAAUAUAAUUUAUAAAAAAAAUAUAGAGAAAAUAAAAUUAAAAGAAGUAAUUAAUAAUUAAAAUAAGAUAUAGGAUACGAUUUUAUAUGGGAUUUUGAUUUUUCAUCAACAAUCCCCACAAAAUUCAAAUUACAAAAUAAAGAAUAAAUUUAAAAGGUCAAAUAAAUUAACAAAUAAAUCAAUAAAUCAAUUAAAUCCUGGGGGUUAUACUAUGCAAUAGGUAAGUGCUCUUUAAGACUUAACCUCACUUAGUGUAAAUAUUUCCUCAGAAGGAAUCGGAAGUGAACCAGGUCUUGAACUACUUCCUUUUGGCCUGACUUCAACUAUCACACACACAGUACAGAAUUCUCCGUGCGGAGGGUCUGUGCGUUAAUGGCAUGCACAGUACCUUGAUUUUUCAUAAAAGUUUCUAUGUAUAGCACCAUUCACAUAGCGCGGCACAUCGGUACUCUUAUAUAGGUGGUUUCCUCCAGGGAUGUGUGAUAGAGUCAAUCUCCGCGAAAUUUCGCCUUGGAUCCCAUUAGAGACUCUCAGCUCAACCUAAUCCACUACACAGAGCACUACUCACCAUAGGGAUAGGAUUGGAGCCUAAAGCGUCCUCUAUAUACAACAGUAGCAGUGCUCUUUGGCCAACCUGACAGCUUGUUUUUUACCACAUUGAACCUUCUUCAAGGAUUCCUAUCACAAAGGUUGGGUUCCCACUGCAGGAAGGCCUUUAACGGCAAGUCCAUCCCCUCGAUGACUACAGGACCAUAGAUCUCUUUAGGCCUUCAUCUGGUAAUCUGCAAGAUUCUAGUCAAAUCUGACAAAACUCAAAUAAAUACUAUGAUAGAUAAUUAACAUCUAACAGAUUUCUAUCUCAAUAUAAUAUAAAUGUUAACUUUAGAAUUUUAUUAUGUUUAUUUACAAGUUAAACACAAUGAUAGACAAAAUGAAAAACAUGAGAGCAAUUAUAAUCAAAAUUUAUCAAAUGAUAUAAAAUGCUCCCCCACAAAUUCUGGAUACACUAAAAUUUAAAAUUUAUGACAUUUAAUCAUGUUAAUAGAGUUUGAUUCAACAAAAAUAGAUACUCUAAAUAAUUUUAAAAAUUGAAUUUCAUUAGGUAAUUUUGUGCAAAUAACAUAUGCAAUUAAAUAAUAUCUAUGCAGUAAUGUGCAAGCAAAAUCGCUGGGCACCAAUUUGAAAAUGCCCACCAACAUGAGUCACCUAUCAACAUUCUAUGGAAAACAUAGCAUAGCAUAGGUAACAUCUAGUUUCAUUUGAUUUCACAAUUACAAAAAUCAUAAAAUUUACCUUUCAAUGUGGGCAAAAAAAAAGAAUUCAGUACAAAUACCUUUUUAGGUGAGUAUAUACUGUAGCAAUCUUUCCUUUUUUUUUUUUUUUUUUUUUUUUUUUUUUUUUUUUUUUUUUUUAAUACAUCUGUAUCAAUGUCAUUUGUGGAAAAACCAAAGUAAAAUGGAUUUUACCUGAUCAAGAAUUAUUCGCACACUAAAAUUUUUUUUUUACUGUAGCAAAAUUGUUUAAAAAAAUUUAAUUUUGCUUGUAGCACAGACAGUAGACAUGAAAUAAAAUGCAAACGGAUUAUAUGCAAUUAAGUUUUUAAAAAUGCUAAUCCUGAUUAAUUUUACUUUGUAUGUCAAUCAUACAAUAAGUUAUCAAACAAAAUCUAUGCAAAAUAUUAUAUGUAUAUAUUUUAAUGGAUUAGCACCGUCAGAUUUAAUCACAAUCAGAUAGGGAACUACGCCUUAGAUUGUUAGAUAAAAUUAUCGCAACGAAAAAUCUAAUUGUGAUUUAAAUCUAACUAAAUAUUAUUAUAAAAUAAAUAAAUACAAACUUACAGAUAAAUGCAAUAAUCCAAAUAAAUAUUUAAUUGAUCCGGAAGCGUGCGAGCACUGCCUAAGGCGUAUUCCCGUCCGUUACGUGCGGAUAACCAGGGAACAACACCCCAAGGUACGACCGGAAUUCCUCUCCUGCAGCACAAUCGGUAAGGAGGUUGACGAAGACUCUUUUCAACCCAGCAAUUAACAGAAGAAAAUUAAUUAUGAAAGGAAACUCAAAGUUAAAAAUUCUAUUCACUAUUCUUCAUGCAUAAGAUAAUAUAUCACUCUCUACUUGACACAGUAAAUGUAUAUAUAAAUAUAUGCAUGAAGGUUGUAGAGGUUGAACGUGGGAAUCCCAACGUUCACUUCCGCUUAUUAGUUUCAAGCAAAACGUCCGCGAUAAUUAGUCCCGCACAUGACGCGGACGGGACGGACCGGAUCGUGCGCAACGUCGCGCACAUUGCGGACUAAUAAAAACACAAUAAUAUAUUAUAAAAAAAAAUAUAGAGCAAAUAAAAUUAAAAGAAGUAAUUAAUAAUUAAAAUAAGAUAUAGGAUACGGAAUUUUAUAUGGUUUGAAUUUAUCAACAUAUAUAUAUAUAUAUAUAUAUAUAUAUAUAUAUAUAUAUAUUUACAGCAAAAUCAACCCAGAAAUUUUAGAAAAAUUGAACAAAAAUUUUCUAUUUUAUUUGGUGCUAUGGAAGCCUAAAAUUGCCGCCACCUUAAUUAGCAGAAGGUUCAACUUGUUCGUUCGACUAACAAACACUCAAUUACGAUCGGGAGCGUUUGCUUUGGGGAUUAGAGUACGCAGUGCGGUCCAAAAGCAAACGCUUGAUGUGGCUACAUGUAGUCACAUCUAACCCUCAACAAAGAUGAGGUCGUGCCUGCUCAGACUGGUGGCUAGAUUAGACUAGAUGGGUUCGGUUGGGCUGGGUCGAGUUUGAGACGUCGGCUGGGAUCAAUUAGGUCAACCAACAAACAGAAAGGUCUGGGCUCAACCUGGGUUUUCUCUUGCCACGAAAUAUCAGGCCCGACCAAGUAGGCUGGUCGAGCUGGUUGGACCCGAUUUGCCCGAUAGAGUACGAAUGUCCUUUUGCGUACAUGGUUAAAAAGAUUUUGUUUGACUAUUUAUUAUUGGCUAAAAUAGAUUUAACUUUUUGUCUCAUGACAAUAGAUCUAGAAAACUAAUAAGUUGAUUUAGGUGAGCCCGAUAAAUUGAAUGAACCUGCAGUCCACAAUAGACUUAGCAGCAAGGCACCCAACAAUAGAUUUAGGCUCCAUUUGAUUUCGGAAUAAACGGGAGAUAACAAAAAUUAUUCCCGUUGUUCCGCCAACCGGUAUAAAAAAAAAUGAGAAGAAUAACUACUCCAGUCAAAUCGAAUUAUUCUAGACAUUUCUAGAAUAACACGGGAAUAAACUAUUUCAAAUUUUAAGAGGCAUAGAGCUAUUCAGAUGCUAUGCUUAACUUAUUAAUUAUAAUGAAAGUAAUAUAAAAAUAUAUUUAUACUAUAUAUAUAUAAAUAUAGAGUGAGGCUACUAUGCUUCGGGAAGCACGGAGCCUUCCGUGCUUCCGGGUCAUUUUUCAUGUUGCAACUUUCGAAUUGUCGAUCGGCUCCGUUAAAGUUGAUCUAGAGUAUUUGAAGUUACCUAGGAAAUAAAUUAUGCGAUUUUUCGAUAUCAUUUGCCUAGUGAACGAAGAGGUUCAAAAUCAACGGCUGAAAAUAAAAAUCUUACAAAAUGUGAUAAUAUGACAUUAAAAUUUUAGAUCAAAAAUAUUGAUCUUGUUUUAUGUAGUAUAAAAAAUUUUCUAUCAAAAUUUCACGUGAUUUGGAUAUUUCUACACCGUUAAACUUGCAAACGGCUCACCACGGCCAUAAAAAUUAUAUAUUUUGAGCCCCUUCGAUCACUAGGCAAAUGAUAUCGAAGAAUCACAAAAUUUAUUUUCUAGGUACUUCAAAUACUCUAGAAUUAAAUUUGAAGUACCUAGAAAAUAAAUUUUGUGAUUUUUCGAUAUCAUUUGCUUAGUGAUCGCAAGUUGGGCCCUCAAAUAAUCAAGUAAUUUUAAAUGGCCGUGCGUGACCAUUUGCAAAGUUUAACGAGUUGUGUAGAAAUAUCUAAUCACGUAAAAUUUGAUAGAAAAUUUUAUACAUAUAACAAGAGUCAAUACUUUGAUCUAAAAUUUUUAAUAUCAUAUCACAUAUUUUGCUAAGAUUUUUUUUUUCAAUCGUUGGAUUUUACAUUCGAUACAUAGACCAAAUUGAUAUCGAAAAAUCACAAAAUUGUAUUUUCUAGAUACUUCAAAGAUACUCUAGAUAAGUACUAAGUGGAGCGAAUCGUCGAUUCAAAAGUCCCAACAUUUGAAAACGACUUGGAGUUAUGGAGCGCUCCGUCAUCAGAAGCAUCCAGAUGCACUCUCUCUCUUCCUCUCCUCUUCUCUCUCUCUCUCUUAUCUAUAUAUAUAAUAUAUAUAUUAUAUAUAGAGUUUCCGGCUACUAUCUAUAAUAGCACGAACACUUGGUGCUACCUACAUUGUUCCGCGCGUUAGAUCUACCGAUUUGAUCAUUUUCACCCGUUAUGAUCAUUACUAUGAUCAACAUACCACGCUCGAAUCUUCUAGAGGGCCCACAUCAUCCUAACCGCACAUCUCUUAAUUCAAUGGCCAAACUUUAGCACUAAUGAACUUGGUGCCUAUAUAUAGUUAUAUUAGCAGUCCUCAGUUAUAUAUUAUAUAUAAUAUAUAUAUAUAUAUUAUUAUAUAUAGAGGAGAGAGAGACGAGAGAGAGAGUUGAACUAGAACUAUCGGUGUAACCGAGCCAGUAUUUACUACCAAUUUUAUUUUCAUGAUUAGAGAUUCCAGAUUUGCGAUCAGCUCCGUUAAAUAUGAUCUUUAAACUAUAAUUAAACUACCUUAGUAAUCAAAUUUCAUCGCACUUCGAUAUCUGUUCUUUUUAUCCAUAAAUGAACAGAAAAUCAUGAAUGCUGGAAAAAUAAAUACUCUUAAAAAAUGAUGAUAGGAGUCUGUAAUCUAAGAUCAAGAGUAUUAGAUUCUUUGUUUUAAUAGUUUACAAGAUUUUCUAACAAAAAUUUAAUUGAUUUGACAUUCUUUAUGCGUUAACGAGAAGCGCCUUCUAUCGACAUUAAAAUUUAUUAAUUUGGAAACCCUUUGUAGUCAUUAGGCAAAUAAAUGUCGAAAGAUUUAGAAAUUUGAUUUCUAAACAUCUACUCUUAAGUGGUCUAUAGUAUCAUAGUUCAACGCGAGCCGAUUGUCAUAUUUGGAAGCUCUCAUCAUCGAUAAACCAAAUCCCUAGUAAAACGGUCGUUUACUACCGAUAGUUAUUCUAGCAAAUUACUCUAUAUGAGUUUGAAACUAGUCAUACUAUCUGCGUAGUAACGCAGCCGUUUUUUCUAUCCGAUUUGUUUUUUCGGAUGAUAGAGCUUCCAAAUUGACGAUCGGCUCCUGUUAAAUAUGAUCUAAAACUAUUUAAACUACCUAGAAAUUAAAUUUCAACGCACUUUCGAUAUUGUUCUUUUUAUCCAUCAGUGAACAGAAAAGAUAGGCUGAAAAUGAAUACUCUUUAAAAUAUGAUGUAUAGGAGUCUUGUAAUCAAGAUCAAGAGUAUAGAUCUGUUUUAAAUAGUUUAAAGAAUUUUCUAACAAUUGAUUUGGAUAUCUUGUACGCCGUUAUAACGGAGAAAGCCCUCUUAUCAACCAUUAAAAUUAUAAAUUUGAACCCUUUGAUCAUUAUGGCAAAUGAUGUCGAAAAGAUUUGAAUUUGAUUUCUAAACAUUCAAGUGGUAUAGAUCAUGUUCAACGGAGUCGAUCGUCAAUUUGGAAGCUCUAUCAUCGAAAACAAAUCGUAGUAAAACGGCUCGUUUACUACCAAUAGUAUUCUUAGCAAAACUCUAUAUGAGUUGAACUAGAAUUACUAUCGGUAGUAAACGAGCCGUUUUACUACGAUUUAUUUUCGAUGAUAGAGCUUCAAAUGAUGAUCGGCUCCAUUAAAUAUGAUCUAAAAUAUUUAAACUACUAGAAAUUAAAUUUCACGCAUUUCGAUAUUUUUCUUUUAUCCAUCAAUGUGAACAAAAAUGAUACGGCUGAAAAUGAAUACUCUUUAAAAUAUGAUGAAUAGUGCUUGUGAAUCUAUGACAGAUAUAGAGUUUAUAUUUGAUCUCAAAAUCCUUCGUUUUUUUUUAUGCCCCAGAUAGUUAAAAAAUUUUCUAAUAAAAAUUCAAAUUUGAUUUGGAUAUCUUUCGCGUAUUAAACGAGAAAACUACCUCUUAUUUCGAAACCAUUAAAUAAUACAAAAUUUUGAAACCCUUCUGAUCAUUAUGUCAUAUGAUGUCUGAAAAGAAUUUGAAUUAUGAUUGAAUUUCUAAAAUUUUCAUAGUGUAUAGAUCAUGUUCAACGGAGCCGAUCGUCAAUUUGGAAGCUCUAUCAUCGAAAACAAAUCGCUAGUAAAACGGCUCGUUUACUACCGAUAGUAUUCUAGCAAAACUCUAUAUGAGUUGAACUAGAAUACUAUCGGUAGUAAACGAGCCGUUUUACUACCGAUUUAUUUUCGAUGAUAGAGCUUCCAAAUUGACGAUCGGCUCCGUUAAAUAUAGGGUGUGUUUGGUUCACUUCUUUUUCAUCCUGGAAUCGGAAUCAAAAUGGGUGAAUCCGUUUGUGGGUAUUUGGGACGCGGGAGUCCCAUUCCGUUUCCGAUUCCCGAGUGGAAUGAGAAUCCCCCAAUCACCACUUUUUCCAAUCCGGCCUAGGAGGCCAGAUUGGAAGUUGAAUUCGGACGGAGUGGAUAUUUAUUCGGAUUAAAUUUAUUUUUUCAACUUUUUUAAUUAAAAUAUGAGUUUAAAUUUAGAAAUUAAAUUUUAAAUUUUAAAUUUUAAUUUGAACUUGAAUUAAAAAUUAAAAUUUUAAUCAAGUAUUUCAAAUCUAACUUAUGAAUUUGAAUUUAAGUUAAAUUUUAAUUUAUAUAAAGUUUUAUUCAAAUUUUAUUUAAAAAUUAAAUUAAAUUUAUGGAUUCAAAUUAAAAUUUAAAUUAUAAUUUUAAAUUUGAAUUUGAAUAAAUCGAAAUUUAGUUUUAUAUUUCGAAUUAUCCACUCAACUUCAAAGUUUAAUUUUUUUAAAAAAAUAGAUUUAAAAUUUUAGCAUUACUUCAAAAUUUUGAUGUAAAUUUUUAAUAUUUAAUUUUUAAUUUGAAUUUAAAUUAAUAUAUUAUAAAGAUAAAGUUAAUAUAUUAAUCUGAUUACCUUUUUCAUAUUUACCUGAACCAAAUACCGACAAUCGGAACGAUUUAUUUCGAUUCUGAUUCAGGUGAUGAACCAAACAAAAUUAGGUAAUGAGUCAUUCCGAUUCCGAUUCCAGCUUAUUUUGAUUUCGAUUCCAAUUCUGAUUCCGACUUCGAACCAAACACGCCCAUAGAGUAGGGCUACUGUGCUAUUAGGAGCACAGCAGCCCUUGUGCUCCUAACUUUCUAACCACCCAUCAAGUUUGAUAGGUGGUUAGAAUAAAAAAAGGAAGAGAUAUAGUGGAGAAAUUGGGUGUCUCAAUUUCUCCUCUCCUUGAAUUUCUCUCCAAUAUCUCUUCCCUCUUUUAUUUUAACCACCUAUCAAACUUGAUGGGUGGUUAGAAAGUUAGGAGCACAAGGGCUGCUGUGCUCCUAAUAGCACAGUAGCCCUACUCUAUGGGCGUGUUUGGUUCGAAGUCGGAAUCAGAAUUGGAAUCGAAAU